AUAUCUCGUUUUUGGUGGGGUGAUGGUGCAACUCAGAAUAAGAUGCACUGGUUUGCAUGGUGGAAGAUGUGCAUUCCUAAAAAGCAGGGAAGGAUGGGGUUCAGAGAUAUUCAUUGCUUUAAUUUGGCAUUGUUGGCUAAACAGGCUUGGGGACUAAUUGAUAAUCCCGAAUCUCUAUGUGCGAUGAUUCUAAAGGCGAAAUACUUUCCUGAUGUAGAUCUUAUGGAUGCUAGCCUAAAGAAAAAAGCUUUGUAUACAUGGCAAAGCAUUAUGGCUGGAGUGGAGGCCCUAAAAGUUGGGCACAUAUGGAGAGUGGGUGAUGGAGUUAAAAUAAAGUUUUGGGAAGAUGAAUGGAUCCCGCAGUCUCCAACAAAGAAGGUGAUAACUGCUCGAGGAAACUAG
rnacentral:rRNA from 1 species